AUGUUCUAGAAUGGUUGGAAGAAACGCUCUCAACUCGGCUUCUUUCUCUCUUUCUCCUCAUACAGGAGGAGAUCGAGAUUACGUUUGACUUGAAAUGGCAGUGUUCUACUUCGAGAUUUCCUUCAGUUUCUGAUUCAUCUGUGCACUUUGAAGUAAACGAAAAAAUAGAAUACGCUGCAUCGGAGAUUGGAGAACUAUCACGAUUGCCAAACACAAAUUUCUCGA